UACGGAGGGUGCGAGCGUUGUCCGGAAUCACUGGGCGUAAAGGGCGCGUAGGUGGCGGGACAAGCGUGCGGUGAAAGCUCGGGGCUCAACCCCGAGUCGGCCGUGCGAACUGUUUUGCUUGAGCACUGUAGAGGCAGGCGGAAUUCCGGGUGUAGCGGUGGAAUGCGUAGAGAUCCGGAAGAACACCGGUGGCGAAGGCGGCCUGCUGGGCAGUAGCUGACACUGAGGCGCGACAGCGUGGGGAGCAAACGGG
rnacentral:rRNA from 1 species